rnacentral:hammerhead_ribozyme from 1 species
AUGCGAAACGGGGCGGCACUGCCGCCCUGUCUGCCCGAUGUGGUGAUCGGGUACUGAUGAGCAGCCGACC